rnacentral:rRNA from 1 species
GUGGGGAAUCUUCCGCAAUGGACGAAAGUCUGACGGAGCAACGCCGCGUGAGUGAAGAAGGUUUUCGGAUCGUAAAGCUCUUUCGUCAGGGACGAACGUAUUUCUUGUAAAUAAUGAGAGAUAGUGACGGUACCUGAAUAAGAAGCCACGGCUAACUACGUGCCAGCAGCCGCGGUAAUACGUAGGUGGCAAGCGUUGUCCGGAAUUAUUGGGCGUAAAGCGCGCGCAGGCGGGAUAUCAAGUCUGUCUUAAAAGUGCGAGGCUCAACCUCGUGAGGGGACGGAAACUGGUAUUCUUGAGUGUCGGAGAGGAAAGUGGAAUUCCAAGUGUAGCGGUGAAAUGCGUAGAGAUUUGGAAGAACACCAGUGGCGAAGGCGACUUUCUGGACGAUGUCUGACGCUGAGGCGCGAAAGCUAGGGGAGCGAACGGGAUUAGAAACCCCUGUAGUCC